AAAGUAUGAUGAGGCUAUUUUCUAAGUCUCUCCUUAAAUCUCUCCUAACUUUUAUAAAUUCACUUUCCUUCAAACUGAGCAAAAGAAGUGAUGCCAUUUCUAAGAUU